AAAAAUCGGAUCGGGUUCGGGGGUCAGGUUACUUAUCGGGAAGGUACAGUAAAGACCGUAGCAGCCGUCUAAGUCCCUAGAGACGGGUCUCUAGUAAUAAAAUGAAGCAAUCGUGGCAUCUAAUAAAGAAAUCAAUGCAUACCCGAAUUGAUCAUGCACAUAUGGGAAUCAAUACAUGUAUAUAGAGUGACCAGAGUGAGAAUGGGUGCGUACCUGACCAACGAGCCACCAUGCGCUAUCAAGAGAGGAGGUUAGUGCAUAAUAACAAUCACGAGAUAUGUCACAGAGCAUAAUAAAAUCCAUCAUUCAUGGCAAUUAAAUCAAUCAAUCGAUCAAUCACAUAUGUGGGGCUCCCACCAAAGCCCGUUUAUUUUUGCAUGAAUCAAUCCCGUAAAUUCCAUCACUUGAAAUUACAGAAUUUAAAUUCAUGUUUAUUUUAAAACAUUUUAAAAUCAUGAAAAAUUUGAAAGUGAUUCGCCGAAAAGAAAAUGGCUGCCAAAUUUUAUUGAAAAUGAGAUUCUUGGGUGAUCCUAAAAAUUCUAAGGAUGAAAGAUGAGAAAAUUGGGAUUGUUAGAAAAUCAAAUUUGAGAAGAUAUUUACAAAAAAUGGGAUUUGAGAAAUCAUUUUCAAAAUCAAAGGUGAUGAAACGGUUAGUGGCAUGUGGCCCAAAGGUGACCAUGCAUGCCAUGCAAGAGUGGGUCCCAGGGUGGAAUGAGUAGGCCAUGGAAAGUUUAUGAUGAGAUAUCGGGUUCUGGGUACUGUGGGGCAACCAUGCACGGAGAAUCACAACGCGUGGGACUCAUGGUGGAAAAAUCAGGAUGAUUACAUUACGACAUGGAUGAUUGCAUGGUAAUAUGGAUAACUGCAGUUGCCAUGAAGGGCUCAACUAUCAAGUACAGCUUUUCUAUGGUGCCAAUCUCCUACUCAGGCUGGAAGGAGCAUCUUACUUGUAGUCGGAAGUAUGACAGAAGUAACAUGGCCAACAUGUGGAAGCUUGGAGUUGCUCCUCUUUCUCGACUUAGCAAACUCUCUCAUCUGAUGUGAAAUUACCAUUGAAUUCACAGUCCUCUCAAAUACUUCACAGGACUACCAUCUUCUGUCACUUCAUCAGGGACAUUCAUUUUCAUGUCUUUGACUUUGGUUUGGAGACCCUGCAACUUCACUAGAAGAUGGACUUGAAGACGCUGAUUCCGAGUCGUCACCCUUUGGCAUUUCAUUCUAGCGUUUGAAGCGUCAUCGCGGGUCACGUUUCAUUCAAUUAGUGCAAGGGUGGACCUUCAGAAAUACUCCGUAUAUAAACACGUCCGUCAAUGCUUUCACUAGCAAGAAGAUGAACGUCCUGUGAAGAGAACAAUGUGUUCGAUAUAGAAGGAAUACGCGACUGUGAGUGGCCAGAGCUGCAUGCACAUAGGAUAACAUUUGUGCCGAGGAGGUUGAAGCUGCAAGCUUUGCUGCCAUAGCAGUAGCUGCAGAUUUCCGUGGAUCUUCUUCAAAGCAGGAAGAAGACUUACCAGUUAAAGAUUCCUCCCUUAUGUACAUUACCAGAACUAAUUGUUCCUUGUCUCGACCACUGGCUGGAGUUUCUGGAGUGAAAGUGGAAGGUGCCUCAGCAUGAGCAUUAACAUCCAUCUACUCUGCUGUCAUAUGCCCUCUGUUGCAGUUCAGCAAUUGUUGCCGAAUGCUGCUUAUAUGUGCUGAUUGUGACUUGGCAAUGUUUCUAACCCCGCUUCAAUGAUAGCCAGUUAAUACCUCUUCAUCAUUCGAGUGAAUGAGCAGUUCAAAUACUAGAUGAGCAGGCUUUGUCUGAAUCAACAGGAGGCUAUGGCUUGCCCCUAGUGCAGGAAAGAGGUUUAAUGGACACAAGUGACAUUGUAGAAAGAGAGAGCGGGCAUGAAGAAGGGUAUAGAGGUGGAAAUGGAUUUAAUGGUAUGGUGACAGAUUUAUAUAUUCUGAAAAGGGUUAGAAGUGAGGGUGAUUCGUUGAUGAUGGGCAUGAAAGAAUUAUGUGAUAAGAUGUCGGGAUCAUAUGAUGCUCCAGUAUCCUCAUCAUCUUCUAGGGUUGGAAGAUACAAAUAUAGCUUCAAAAAAAGGUAUGCGAGAAGCUUUUGUGAGGCAAUCAGAAACAUCCUUGACCGGAAUCUUCAUUGUGCUGAAUUGAGGAGAUGAGAGCAGGGAUCUAAUCUUCUCAGAGCAUCUGAGUAUGAGACUUGAAACAUCUAGCCAACUCCAUGAAUCACUCACGGUUAUCUUCUCAGCAAACCAACCAUACUUCAUUUCAGGAAUGUCUAUUGGACUGCUACAUACUGCAACAAUAUUAUCCCCAUCCAAUAUAAGAACAUUCCAUGAAAAUCUUGAACCAUACAGCCCAGGGAAGUAGUUAUCCUCAGCACACAUCGCAACAGGAACCACAGAACAAGGAUGAAGCAUCCACGGAUGAUUUCGAGGUGUCAUUGACAAGGCUGAAGUUAUUGAAUUACUUGAACUCUGACCCAUUCUUUUAUUCAGUAUCAUCUUAACUUUGAGAGCGCGCAUCUUUAUAGAAUUUCACAGCUGGGUUUGGAUCCACUCUCAUGACCCAUUCAAUUAAGAACAGAGGAAAACGUGAAAUGAUCAUUUACAAAAAUAGAGUAUAAAGACAGAAAAUCAAUGAGUGAAGGCCUAUUUCAUUUUUCUAUCCAUGGGCUUGCAAGAGGGUUGACUGUUGAGAGACUACGGGUUCAUAUAAAAACAGGGGGAUUAAAUUCUGAAAUAUCUCACAAUGAAGUUAAAAACAAAUUCAAGUUACUCUUCAGCAAAGCUAAAAAGAAGAGAAAGAUAAAACAAUGACAACAAACCCACAAUCAUACCAGAGAUUAGUGAAAACUAAACAUUCAAUCUGAUGCUCAUACCCAAGACAAACAAUAAUCCAGAAACAAAAUGGAGAAGAGUAUGAAAAGGGUUCAUACCUGAACUCCUUAAGUGAAAAACAGUCCAACUCCUUCUCUUGCAGUUAUGAAAAAUACCCUCAAGAAGAUGAACCUCCUCUAUUUUUUACUUUCUAGAAAAUAUCUUCCUCCUCUCCUUCUGAUGAAAAACAACUCUCCAAUGGCAGCCUCACAAAACUCCUCCUUCCUUGCUAAUUCAAACUUCCUUCCCCGAUCCCAAACAUCCCCCAGGUCAUGAAAAACUCACUCUCAGAAAUAUGGAAAACCCCCUCCCUCUGGAAACUUCUUGCCCAAGCUCCCUCUAAGACAUAUCUCCUCCAACAAUCCUUGAAAAAAAAUCCCUAACCGCCUACUCCCAGACCAGCCUCACCUCCACUACCCUGCAGCUGCCAGCCUCCACCACCCUGCAGCUGGCAAAAAAAAAGGUAUCCUCCAACAGCCAGACCCCCUCUCCUCACUCCUCAGCUGCCUUUUUUCUUUCCCCUCAAAUAACAGCCAAAAUGAUUGUUUUCUGAUUCCCCUUGACAGGUGUCGACCCCAGAUGGGCCUUCAAAAGCACUACUCUGAUUCCAUGAUGGCCAAUCAGGGAUUGACACGUGGAUGCUUAGGAGCGCGACACUUGGCCAAACAAUGCUGCAGCAAAACAAGCCCCACAUGGGGGUCUACAGAUGCUUAUGUAUGGUCAUGAAAACAUCACUGUACAACAAAUGAAACUAACAAUUAAUAAUUAAUAUAAAUUAAAACAAUAAAUAAAAAUUAAUAUAUGAAUAAUCUUACUCAUGAAAUGCUCAUGGAUCCCUUAAAAAAAUCAUUAAGCAAUCUGAAAUCAUUAGUUUAAUUCAUUUCGAGCUCAUAGUAGUUGUUCAAAUAGCCGUGCAAAAUACGUGCAAUAUUAUUAUGGCAAAACUGAAGAUCGAGUCCCAUAUUGUCAUCACAUAAUCUUGUGAUUUUCCCUCUACCGUUCACCACUACUACAUUAUCCAUACAAAAUUGAUCUUCUAACUUCUCUGAUCAUACCAAGUAUUGAAUAGUUUCAAACAUGUCACCCGAUAAGAAAUAUUAACUAAAUACAAAUCUAAAAAAUAAAAAAACAUUAAAAGUAAAUAAAAUGUUUAUUACAAAAAUACUGUAGAAUUUAUAUCAAUUCUUGAUUAAGUUUAUGUUCGAUUACAAGUUGGUGAUGUUGGAUCCAAUCAUGUAGGCUAAUGUGGUGCUCAAAAACAAUUAUACGGUGUCGAAAUUCUACAUAACUAAGAUAGCGAACGAAAACGUAUUGCUUAUCCAAAGUUUCUGCAAUAUCAUAGGAACAAAAUUCUAUAUCAUUUGGAUGCACUAUUUUCAAAGACACCAACCUAAAGUAGUUUCCUUUUCCAUCUACUUCAUAUAUAUUGUCUUUAAUAUGUACGACAUUAUAGUAUUUGGUAGCACUACAGACGUUAAACCUGUCAUUACUACCAAUCAUUCGUAAAAAAAAUAUAAUAUUUUUUUCACAAUCUAUCCACAACACAUUGAGACUCUCAAAGUGUUAGAAAAGUUAAUAAAAAAAAUUGGCAUAAGUAUGAUGUAUGCAACACUUACUAUUAAUCAAAUUUAUGUGAAAUGCUAGUAGCAUAUGGAAUACCAUUCCAAGAAAACUAGGCCAAAGGGGUCAUAAAUAAGGGAUGCUUAUGUAUGGUCAUGAAAACAUCACUAUACAAGAAAUGAAAUCAACAAUUAAUAAUUAAUAUAAAUUAAAACAAUAAAUAAAAAUUAAUAUAUGAAUAAUCUUACUCAUGAAAUGCUCAUGGAUCCCAUAAAACAUCACUAAGCAAUCUGAAAUCAUUAGUUUGAUUCAUUUGGAACCCAUAGUAGUUGUUCAAAUAGUCGUGCAAGAUACGUGCAAUAUUAUUAUGCAUAAACUGAAGAUCGAGUCCCAUAUUGUCAUCACAUAAUCCUGUGAUUUUCCCUUUACCGUUCACCACUGCUACAUUAUCCAUACAAAAUCCAUCUUCUAACUUCUUUGAUCAUACAAAGUAUUGAAUACUUUCAAACAUGUCACCCGAUAAGAAAUAUUAGCUAAAUACAAAUCUAUAAAAUAAAAAAACAUUAAAAGUAAAUAACAUGUUUAUUACAAAAAUACUGUAGAAUUGAUAUCAAUUCUUGAUUAAGUUUUUGUUCGAUUACAAGUUGGUGUUGUUGGACCCAAUCAUGUAGGCUAAUGUGGUGCUCAAAAUCAAUUAUACGCUGUCAAAAUUCUACAUAACUAUGAUAGCUAGCCAACAGAUACUGCUUAUCCAAAGUUUCUGCUAUAUCAUAGGAACAAAAUUCUAUAUCAUUUGGAUGCACUGUUUCAAAGACACCAAUUUAAAGUAGUUUUCUUUUCCAUACACUUCAUAUAUAUUGUCUUUAAUAUGUACGACAUUAUACUAUUUGGUAGUGCUACAGACGUUCAACCUGUCAUUACUACCAAUCAUUCGAAAAAAAAAAUAUAGUAUUUUUUUCACAAUAUAUCCACAACACAUUAAGACUCUCAAAGUGUUAGAAAAGUUAAUAAAAAAAAUUGGCAUAACUAUGAUGUAUGCAACUGUUACUAUUAAUCAAAUUUAUGUGAAAUGCUAGUAGCAUAUGGAAUACCAUCCCAAGAAAACCAGGCCAAAGGGGUCAUAAAUAAGGGAUGCUUAUGUAUGGUCAUGAAAACAUCACUAUACAACAAAUGAAACCAACAAUUAAUAAUUAAUAUAAAUUAAAAAAAUAAAUAAAAAUUAAUAUAUGAAUAAUCUUACUCAUGAAAUGCUCAUGGAUCCCUUAAAACAUCACUAAGCAAUCUGAAAUCAUUAGUUUGAUUCAUUUCGAGCCCAUAGUAGUUGUUCAAAUAGUCGUGCAAGAUACGUGCAAUAUUAUUAUGGAUAAACUGAAGAUCGAGUCCCAUAUUGUCAUCACAUAAUCCUGUGAUUUUCCCUCUACCGUUCACCACUGCUACAUUAUCCAUACAAAAUCCAUCUUCUAACUUCUUUUAUCAUACCAAGUAUUGAAUAGUUUCAAACAUGUCACCCGAUAAGAAAUAUUAGCUAAAUACAAAUCUAUAAAAUAAAAAAAAACAUUAAAAUUAAAUAAUAUGGGUAUUACAAAAAUACUGUAGAAUUGAUAUCAAUUCUUGAUUAAGUUUAUGUUCGAUUACAAGUUGGUGUUGUUGGAUCCAAUCAUGUAGGCUAAUGUGGUGCUCAAAAACAAUUAUACGUUUUCGAAAUUCUACAUAACUAUGAUAGCCAAUGAAAACGUACUGCUUAUGCAAAGUUUUUGCAAUAUCAUAGGAACAAAAUUCUAUAUCAUUUGGAUGCACUGUUUUCAAAGACACCAACCUAAAGUAGUUUCCUUUUCCAUCUACUUCAUAUAUAUUGUCUUUAAUAUGUACGACGUUAUAGUAUUUGGUAGCGCAACAGACGUUAAACCUGUCAUUACUACCAAUCAUUCGUAAAAAAAAUAUAGUAUUUUUUUCACAAUCUAUCCACAACACAUUGAGACUCUCAAAGUGUUAGAAAAGUUAAUAAAAAAAAUUGGCAUAAGUAUGAUGUAUGCAACACUUACUAUUAAUCAAAUUUAUGUGAAAUGCUAGUAGCAUAUGGAAUACCAUUCCAAGAAAACUAGGCCAAAGGGGUCAUAAAUAAGGGAUGCUUAUGUAUGGUCAUGAAAACAUCACUAUACAAAAAAUGAAACCAACAAUUAAUAAUUAAUAUAAAUUAAAACAAUAAAUAAAAAUUAAUAUAUGAAUAAUCUUACUCAUGAAAUGCUCAUGGAUCCCUUAAAACAUCACUAAGCAAUCUGAAAUCAUUAGUUUGAUUCAUUUCGAGCCCAUAGUAGUUGUUCAAAUAGUCGUGCAAGAUACGUGCAAUAUUAUUAUGGAUAAACUGAAGAUUGAGUCCCAUAUUGUCAUCACAUAAUUCUGUGAUUUUCCCUCUACCGUUCACCACUGCUACAUUAUCCAUACAAAAUCCAUCUUCUAACUUCUUUGAUCAUACCAAGUAUUGAAUACUUUCAAACAUGUCACCCGAUAAGAAAUAUUAGCUAAAUACAAAUCUAUAAAAUAAAAAAACAUUAAAAUUAAAUAAUAUGUUUAUUACAAAAAUACUGUAGAAUUGAUAUCAAUUCCUGAUUAAGUUUAUGUUCAAUUACAAGUUGGUGUUGUUGGAUCCAAUCAUGUAGGCUAUUGUAGUGUUCUAAAACAAUUAUACGUUUACCAGAUUUUACAUAACUAUGAUAGCUAGCCAACAGAUACUGCUUAUCCAAGGUUUCCGCAAUAACAUAGGAACAAAAUGCUCUAUCAUUUGGAUGCACUGUUUUCAAAGUCACCAACCUAAAGUAGUUUCCUUUUGCUUCUGCUUCAUAUAUAUGGUCUUUAAUAUGUCUAACAUUAUAGUAGUUGAUAGUGCUAUGGACAUUAAACCUGUAACUAAUAUCAAUCAUUCGUAAGAAAAUAUAUAUACUAAUUUUUUUUUGACAAUCUAUCCACUACACAUUAAGACUCUCAAAAUUUUAGAAAGUUAAUAAAAAAAUUUAAAAAAAUGGCAUAAGUAUGUUGAAUGCAACACUUACUAUUAAUAAAAUUUAUGGGAAAUGCUAGUAGCAUGUGUGUGGACCCCGCAUUUCCACUCAUCUAUCUCUAUGUGUUUCCCACUCGAUGGCGAGCUCGAUUUUUUUAUUUUGAAAAAUUGAUUUUUAUUGAUUAAAAAAUGACUUAGAGUCGCCACUUAUUUUUGUUUUAUUUUUAAAAGGGUAAACAAAAUAAGAAAGAAAAACCCUAAGUGUGACUCCUUAUUUGGAAAAGGUGAUCUACGAAAAACCGGAUCGGGUUUGGGGGUCAGGUUACUUAUCGGGAAGGUACGGUAAAGACCGUAGCACCCCUCUAAGUCCCUAAUGUCGGGUCUCUACUAAUAAAAUGAAGCUGACAUGGCAACCAAUGAGAAAAUCAAUGAAUACUCAAAUCAAUCAUGCACAUAUGAGAAUUAGAAACAAGCAUAAGGAGUGACCAUGAUGCGAGAAAAUACAUACCUGGGUGGCGAACCAAUAUGCGCUAUCAAGAGGAGGGUUAGUGCACAAUUAAAAAAUAAUUUCGAGCAUGUCAUAGAGCAAAAUAAAUCAGAUAUGAAUAGCAAUCAAAUCAACCAAUCAAUCGAUCAUAGAAUCCCAUAUGUCGGGCCCCCACCAAAGCCCGUUUUAUUUUACAUGAAUUAAUUCCAUAAAUUCCAUUAUUCGGAAUUACGGAAUUUCAUCCUUGCUUGUUUUAAAAUAUUUUUAUAAACUCAUAGGAUUUUAUGAAAAUUGCUUGCCAGGAGAGAAUGGUAGCGAGUUUUAUUGAAAAGUGAAUUUUUUAAACCCUAAAAAAAACUAAGGAUGAAAAAGAAAAAAAUUAGGAACUUGGAAUUAUUUAAAAACCAAAAUUUAACAAAUUAAUUACAAAGUGGAAUUUAGUAAAAUUAUUUCCAAAAAAUCAAAAGGAUAAAAGAAUAGAAUGUGAUACGCGGCAAAUGAGUGGUUGGUGAACCAUGCAGCUGAAUGAAUACAUGCAUGGGCCCGAGGAUGCUGCUGGAGAUAUGCUAUUGGCUCGCCAUUUCUGGACAACAUUUCCUUGAUAAAGAGUUGUAGCCAAUCUUCAUAUGGGUCAUUGCAUUUAGUUCACCCAGUUCUGGCGGUAUGCUCCCACUGAGAAGGUUUCAUGUCCGAUGAAUAAACUCAAAACUCUUGAAAGAACCAUAUUCUGGUGGGAUCGGUCCUUUGAAAUAACUCCUAGAUAAAUUGAGAACUUUUAGAUAUCCAAGCUGAGAGAUUUCAGUGGGUAAUGGACCUGGAAAACUGUUACUGAAGGCGUCAAUCAUAACAAGGCGCUCAAACCUGGAAACUCCACCAAGAAAGUGACCUAAAGAACUGUUUCUAAACGUUGAAGUGUAUGAUUGCAUCUGCAAUGAACUCCCCUCUUGUUACCUCGGCAAUUUAUUCUCGGACUGGCAGUGCAUUUCGAAUGGUAAGGGCAUGACGCACAAUGCUCUCGGCUGGACGGAGUGCAUUUGCUUCUGCCAGCGUUUUCUGAAGCUCGUCUUCAAACUCGGGUCAAUCCCAUAUUAAGUAAUGAUAGAGAUUUUGUGGGGAAGAAUGCGCCAUGCACGUGAAGUUUGUCUCUCAGGGGGAUUUUUAGAAGAUGGAAGUGAAUAGGGGCAUGGAGAAUAGAAGUGGAGAUGGCUAUGAAAGAUAGGAAAUGGAUCUGAAUGCAACGGUUGAAAUUGACGUGGGGACUAGGUAUGAAAUAAUGGGUAUAUGCAGGCAUAUAGAUUCUUGAAAGGAUGGGAAACAGGGAUGGUUUAAUGAUGAUAGGAAUAGAAAAUAGGAAAUGAAUGAGGAGCCAACAUUAAUCUUGUGAAUAUGAGAGUUCAAUCUUCAAAUUGGAUGUAGAGGAUUCAUCACUUAACGUUUAUUUUUAUUUUCCUUUUUUUAAAACCAGAAAUCAGUGAUCCCACGUGGUCUGCCAGGCGCUGAACUUUUGCUGAAGGUGAUAGAAGCCAAUGUCGGGAAUCUUCUCUAACCGGACCCCAUCAAUACUCAAUAGCCCGAUUCCGAUAAGCCUUGAGUUCCGAGGACUGGGCAUGCUUUAAACAGAUUGAAAAUUUCCCGACUCUGUGAUUAUGAGAAUUGCCCUGUAAACUCUUCAUUUGUUCUUUUUUUUUCUCAGGAAAUCCCCUUCAUGAAACCGUCUUCUGGUCCCGAGCUUUGGAAACUGUGCCCAUAUGAAAACCCGAGGCUCAUGCUGGACCAAAACCCUUCUCCUUGAGGGUAUGAAUGGCCAUCGAGAACAGAGUAUAAACAGCAAGGGAGCAAACACAAAAACAGAGUAUCAACUGAACCAAAGAAAACACAAACCCGAGCUCCAUUUCAUAUUGGAGCCAGUGGGCUUAUGCAUGGAUGGGAAAAACCAUGGGAAACUAAGAUCUCAAAGAUAUGACUCAAAUAUUCAAAUGAGAGUUAUAAAGGAAUCAGAUUAUACUAAAACAAUUUUUCAAUGAAGAGCAAAGCGCGGAUACAUUAUCACAAAGUAACAGCAACCCAAAUGACAUCAAUGGAAAUCCAAAAUGUGGUCUAGCAAACGUACCUGAGGAUGCUCAUUUUCUUCCCUUUAUUUUCUUUUAAUUUCUCUCUGGUUUUCCUCUCGAACUCACCCACAAAACCAGUAUGCUCCCAUCCUUGGCACCAAAACUCCUCUCUGUCACAGCCUAAGCUCCAAGGAAUCACCUCCAGAAAAAUCUCCCUCUCUCUCUAAAGCUCUCUGCUCCCGAAAAACCCUCUCUCCUUCUUCCUCUCUUCCCCCUCAAGCUCUCCACUCCUCUACACACUCUAACGGCCUGCUCAGAGACCUCCUGCAGCUGCCAGACGACCCCCUGCAGCCAAAAACGCUCCCCCCUCCUGCAGCUGCUCUGCCACCUUCCCAUAACAGAAAACCUUUUUCCCUUCUAGAAGAUUCUUUCCCUUUACAGGUGUCUUCCCCUGAUUAGUGCAUCAAUUCCACUAUAGUGAUCCCAUAUUGACUAAUCCGGGAGUGACACGUGGCCAGAAUGAGCUGCAUGAAAUAGCACCCAAAUAGGGGUCUACAAAUAUGCCCCUCUUCGGUAGAGUUCACGACGAGUGUAAACAAUAUAAACACUAGAGUGAAAAGUAAGUGUGAAUAGUGAGUGCAAUGAAGUGAACUCUACCGAAGAACUAAGGAGACCCCCAUAGGGACACUAGUGAGAUAAAAACUUACCCAGACUAGCAGACGAACACAAAGGCUCUAAUCCUAAGAGAAAAGAUGUCACAAAAUGCCUCUGAAGCCACACUAAGGAUCCAAGCUCCCUCUAAGACGUCUCCAAAAGUGACUCGAAGAUCAAUGUCAAAGAUGAGUAACGGUCGAACCACCCUGGAGUACAAGAAAGAAUGUGCCCGAAGGAGACUGCCCUAUGUGAACUAUACGAGAAUGCUAAGUGUAGGGUGCCCAACAACAUGAUCGAAAUAUGCGUCACGGAUCUCAAAAGACUGUGUCAUGUGUAGUGGAAGGGGAAAUCUAGAAGAGCAAUGAUGAAUAGGGGAUAAACAUCAAGUAACCAGGUGAGGAGGAUGACUCUAAACGCCCAAAAUGGAAAUGUGACCCUGAAUGUCAUACUGAAGCAAAGACCUGGACGCCGAACUGACCUGAUAGGAAGAAUGAAUGACUGAUCUAUAUGGGUGCGGUCCUGACUCAAACUAAACACAAACUGAUAGGGGAGAUGGCCGAUCGAUAUGGGUGCGGCCCAGACUCAAACUGAACUGAUAAGAGGAUGGCCGAUUGAUAUAGGUGCGGCCCUAGAAACUAAACUGACAUGAUAAUGAUCGAUCGUAUAGGUGCGUCCCAGAAACUGAACUGUCAUGACAAAGAGAUGGUCGAUCGUAUAGGUGCGGCCCCGACUCAAACUGACACGAUAAUGACCAAUCGUAUAGGUGCGGUCCCAAAAACUGAACUGACAUGACAAAGAUGGCCGAUCAUAUAGGUGCGGCCCCGACUCAAACUGACACAAUAAUGACCGAUCGUAUAGGUGCGGUCCUAGAAACUGAACUGACAUGACAGGAAAAUGGCCGAUCGAUAUAGGUGCGGCCCUGACUCAAACUGACACGAUAAUGACCGAUCGUAUAGGUGCGGUCCCAGAAACUGAAAUGACAUGACAAGAAGAUGGCCGAUCGAUAUAGGUGCGGCCCUGACUCAAACUGACACGAUAAUGACCGAUCGUAUAGGUGCGGUCCCAGAAACUGAACUGACAUGACAGGAAGAUGGCCGAUCGAUAUAGGUGCGGCCCCGACUCAAACUGACACGAUAAUGACCGAUCGUAUAGAUGCGGUCCCAGAAACUGAACUGACAUGACAGGAAAAUGGCCGAUCGUAUAGGUGCGGCCCCGACUCAAAUUGACACGAUAAUGACCGAUCGUAUAGGUGCGGUCCCAGAAACUGAACUGUCAUGACAAAGAGAUGGCCGAUCGUAUAGGUGCGGCCCCGACUCAAACUGACAUGAUAAUGACCGAUCGUAUAGGUGCGGUCCCAGAAACUGAACUGUCAUGACAAAGAGAUGGUCGAUCGUAUAGGUGCGGCCCCGACUCAAACUGACACGAUAAUGACCGAUCGUAUAGGUGCGGUCCCAGAAACUGAACUGACAUGACAAAGAGAUGGCCGAUCGUGUAGGUGCGGCCCCGACUCAAACUGACACGAUAAUGACCGAUCGUAUAGGUGCGGUCCCAGAAACUGAACUAACAUGACAAAGAGAUGACCGAUCGUAUAGGUGCGGUCCCAACUCAAGCUGACACGAUAAUGACCGAUGAAUGACCUGAUCAAGUGACCCAAAACCAAAGGAUGACCCAGAUAAUGAUGCAAGUAAACUCGGGAGGGGAUAUGCCCCAGUAUGACAACUCAUAAGGAUUGACAACUAGGUCGAAAGAUAAUGAAGCCUGUGAAAGGUCCGAUGAUAUCGGAGAAGAAGGGUAUGCCCCAAUAUGCAACUCUCGGGGUCGACAACUAGAUCAAAAGUGAAUGAAACCUGUCGAAGGUCCCAUGCUCUCGGAGAUGGGGUAUGCCCCAGUAUCUAAUGAUGAACAGACAGAGAAGCAAAAUGCCUCAAAACUACUGUACUAUGAGAUAUGCUCAUCCAUCAUGUAAUGAAAAUGUCCAACCUCAAAUAAGUAAUGCCAAACAGGACUAUGUAUCGUGAUACCAUGCUGACUAAACAGAAAUGACUGAUGAAUAAAAACAAUGCUGACCAAUGUCCGAAAUGCGAAAAACAAGCAAAUCAACACUCAACAUGCCAACUGUCAAAAUGAAAGCAUCAACACUAAUAAGUCAGCAAUCUGUCAGGCCUUGCCAUCAUGGAAGAUGUUGAACCUAAAGUCCAAAAGAUAUAUGAAAGCACAACCAAGGUGAUCGAGGACUGAUCUACAUCUCCUCAUAAUCGAGAAAGGGGUGAGGUUAUGUGCCAUGGUAAGAUGUGAAGGAUAAAAGAAGGUGAUGGUCAGGCUCCGGUAUGAUAGAAGGUAUGAAAGUAUCCAUGGUGAAACGUCUGAGUAUGAAAUGAAAGGUAGGGAGAUAUCCGAGAUCAUCCAAGUAUGCCGAGAAGACUAAACCCGAGGUGUCAAUAACUCCAUAACCCAUCGUAAGCAGCAAUCACAAACAGGAAGUCAAGCCUCAAUGUCAAAACCUCCAACAAGGUGGCUAUGCCCCAGUAUGCAAUGAGGACAACAUGAAAUAAUCCAAUGAUCUCCCUAUCACUCGUCAGGUGCUCCAAUGUCAAGAACCAAUCUGAUCUCCCUCCAAAAGAUGGACAUGCCCCAAUGUAAAGGAUCCAAAUAGGGUGGCUAUGCUUCAAUGAAAAAUGCUCCCCAUCCCGGCUAUGCCCCAAUGUAAAGUAAUGUAUCCGAGUCAACAAAUCAAUCAAUCUCUACUCCUGGUGCUAAAAAUGGAAACAUCCCAAAAUAAUCCAUAUGAAUCAGAAUCCUCAAGCUAUAUGAAUGCGACUGAGGUGGCUAUGCCCCAGUAUAAACCACUCGAAGUGACUAUGCUCCAAUGAACAAUCAAAGUCCAUCACCAAUGAGAGGGCUACGCCUCAAAUAAAUCGUCAUCUCAAAAAUCAACCAUCAAUGAUAGAAUGUGUCCCAAUGCAGAGUAUCGAGUAGAGCAACUGUAUCUCCAAUAAAAACGCCCUCUGAAAUGGCUAUGCCCCAGUGUAGGGUCAUCCCACAAAGAAACUGUCAUCGAUGAGCGGGGUAUGCCCCAAUGUAGAUAAUGUCGCCUCUGAAAAUCCAUCACUGAUAAGAGAGGUAUGGCCCAAUGUAAAUCACCAUCUCAACUCCCCAUCCAUCAAGCUCUGAGAAAUGAUCUCCAACCAAGCUCGAGUAUUGCCCGCGUAGGAGCUGCCAAACACGAUGUAAAGUAAUGGCCUCAGGGUGGUCUUCAGACACGGGACGUAACGUAGGCUAAGGUAAUAGGGGGAAAGAAAUGAAAGGAAACUAGGCUCAAAAAUCCCAAUGAUACAAUCCCCAUACCCCUCGUGCAUGAUAUGCAAUGCGCAGAAAAUGUCAUGAGUCCCGGACCUAGGGGUCCCCACACGAAAAGUGAUGAUAAGUGAAUGGUCGCAUCGAAUAAGCAAGAAUAAAGUGUAGAUGCUGAACCCAUGUCAAACAUCAGACAGAAUGAGAAAAGAAUGAGAUAAGAUGAAGUGGAGUGAAACGGAGGGAUAAAAUAAAGAUGAAAGAAGGCGAAGAGAUAGAAAAGUGAGUGAUGGUCACCCUGCAUCAAAGCAUGGAAAGUAGUCUCAUCCGAAAUAGACGGAAUGAUGGAUAAAGCAAGGAUCCAGAGAUACUGAAGAAAGGUCGCUCGCAUCUCUCACAAAAAACGAAUGGGCGAAUCAUACUCUCACUCAAAAUAUACAUCAAGAUGAACCUCAAGAAAUAGCUCCCAUACGAGCUCUCUCUAACACAUAAACUCAAUGAAAUAAACCGGCACGUCCAUACACAUGCCCAAUGGAAAAAUAAUAAAAUGAACAAUGCGCUAUCUUUUUUUCUUUUUUUUUUUGGUUUUUUUUUUUGGUUUUUUUUUUGGUUUUUUUUUUUUUUUUUUUUUUGCGCAUACUCUGAUCAAUAAUGAAUGAACUCCCAUGAAAAUACAUACCCAAAUGAUCAAACCCUCUCCACAUACGAAUGUAACAUGAAUCCUCACCAACAAGACAACCUCUCAAAAUAACAUCUCUGAACCACUGCCCAUGGGGUGAAUGAUAGGAAAGAAUGUGACAACCCUCCAUGCAGUGACAUGUGAGAAACCACCACUCAAGGUGGAACAAAGAUAAUGUCGAGUAAGUAAUGAUGUGAGAAAAGACAAAGAACGAAUAUCGCAAGUGAUGAUAUGUGAUAUCGGAAAAUAGUGAUGAAAUGAUGACCAAGUGGAAGAUAUCACAAUGAAGAGUGAGGAAUGAGACCCGAAUAUAUGUGCCAGGUCUAGAACUCAUGACGUAUCCAAACAUAGCAUGCAAGCACUACAGGGUCCCCAACCCGGUGUAAUAGGUAAAUGAGGUGAUGAAAGAAAAGGCUAUGAUGCUCGUGCGAGGCUCAAAGGGCUAGCAAUGGAUAACUCUAUAUGUGAGGGUGAUAAAGUAAAUAGGCUCCUGAAAUGAUGGCCACCCAUCCUUUGACCAAAACCUCGCUCGUGCUUUCAAGAUCUCACAUGGCUAAUACUAAAGACUGGCAUCCGUCCAACAAAAUCAUGUCAACUCCUCCGAAAUCAUGUGAAAGCCCCCACUGAUGCUCUGUGAUAAUCAUCAAUGUCCUCGGAUAAUCACCUCACUCUAUCAUCAUAAUCCACUCACCAUCGUCUCAUAAAAAAAAACAUCAUCUCUAAUCAUCCUGACUCUCUGAAGUCAUGUGCAAUGGCUCAACAACAUCGUCAAGCAAUCAAGCCACUCUCUCAUCAUGAUCCAUCUAUCUUCGUGUAGAGCUCACCUCAGGUCAAACCAUCUCAGACACUACCAGGUCAGAUCAAGGAAAUGAUGGAAAGAAUAGGCAAUGGUACUAUAAUAUACGAAGGCGAAUAAGAAUGGUAAAGGUCAUAUAACGGUACCAAGAGGUGGUGUCAUGUCAAGCUCAAAAUGGGUAGGUCAUCAAGUCCAUAGAGUCAGGGUAUGGAUAUGGAUAUGGAUAUGAUACUGCUCUGAACGGAAGGUGAAAUGGGUCACAGUCUCGAACUCCCUAAGUCGAUCUCCUAAUCGUAGGUCAAUAGACUCAAUAUCCUCCAUGAUAGGUCAGGCCAAAGUGAUUGUGAUGUAAGUGAAAGAUGUAUCAUAUCGAAAGCAUAACACGCAUCAACACAAGAUGUGUAAAACACACUCACGAGAAAAAUGCCACAAUACUCAGAUAAAAUAUCAUAUCACUAAAUGAACCAACGAGUACAUCAUGUGUGAAAUGGUAAAGGACUACAAACAACUGGACUCUCAACAUGAAACUAAAAACAAUGACCCUAAACCGAAAACAAGACUCAACAAAACAAAAACAACUCUGAUGAACUGAAAACUGGACUCAACAAAAUGGAAAUGAGUCUGAUGAUGACCAUAAUCAAAAUGAGAAAUGCUCUGAACUGAACUGCUACCAAGUGAUGUACCCAUGCCGACUGACCCAAGUCCUCAUCCUGGAAGGUCCCAUAACACCAUACGCCAUCAGUACCCUCAAUAUCCAAAUCAAUCUACUGAAGACCAGGAGAAGGAGGAACUGCAUGUGUAGAAUGUGUAGGCAGGGGAUUGGUGGUCACACUUGGCCUGACCAAGUCAACCAUCCCUGAAUCGAUCAAAUCCUGUAUCGCAUGAUGGAGUGCUGAACAAUGCUCAGUAUCGUGCCCCAGAAUCUGAUGAUACAAGCAGUGCUCAUGUAAACGAAAAUGAAGAGGAACAUGAUGGGGCAAAGGCCUCGGUGCCAAAGGAACAAUCACUCCGGCAUCUCUGAGCUUCUCAAAAGCUCUAGUCAAAGUCAUACCCAACGGAGUGAACUGUCUCGCGGGCCUCUGUGCAUAUGGCCUGGGUGGUGGGUGAGUAGCGGCUCUCAGAUGCGAAGGUCGUGGCUGCAUGCUAGUCUGAGCAAUGUAAGGCCCCUGAGCAUAAUCCGGCUGAUACUGAUACUGUGGAAGAGAGAAAGGAGCUCUGACUGUAGGAGGUCUAUAAGCUGAGUGAUGUGCGGGCCUCCGAUGCUGAUAACUAAUAGCGCCAACCUCUCCAGAUCUACUAAAUGGCCCAAUCAGCUUCUUCCCCUUACUGUCAGGGGAAAGAGUAGUAUCUGUCCAUAAUCCUCGAGCAAUGGCCUCCUCAACACUGAAAGUUGCCUGAACCAAACUUCUGAGAUCCUGAAAUGGGAUGCCCACAAGACGUCUCGCGAACCUCGGCUGUAGGUUUCGAAGAACCAUAUCAAUCUGAUCCUGCUCCUUAGGCCGGUCUACCAUACCAGCCACCUUUGCCCUCCAACGAGUGACAAAUGAAGAAAUAGACUCCUCUGGCCUCUGUCUAGUGGCCUCCAACUCUCGUCUGGAUACAUCAAUAUCGGCACUGAAAGCGAACUGAGUCAGGAACUCACGAGCCACAUCCUCCCAGGUGCGAAGUCUCGACGACUCAACUGAAGCAAACCACCUCUGAGCUGCCCCACUAAGUGACAUAGGAAAGAGGGCCACCAACUGCGCAUCAUCUAUCCCAUGUGCUCUCAUGACCGUGCUGUAUAGCCUCAAGUGGAUCUUGGGACAACCAAUCCCACUAUAACGCUCAAUGUCUGGCAUGCGAAACUUGGCGGGCAAGCUAGCCGCCGGUAUGCCAUCCCUGUCAUCCCAAGUCAAACCUCCGUCCUGCAAUCUGAUCUGUCUCAUCAUGGACUCAAGCCUCUCAACCUUGGCCUCCUACUCGGCCAAUCGAGUAUCCUCAAUAGUAGGAACCAUGGGAGGCGGCACUAUGACAGUAGGUGGUGGAAUGGUCUCAUAAUGAUCUGUCAGAUGGAAUGGAGUACCGAGUGAAACCCUAGGUGGAAUAGCCUGUGCUGUCUGAGAUGCAUGAGGAACUGUCUCAUCAAUGACCAUGCCAACCGGCUGGGGAUCCUGGCGAGAACUCUCUAUCUGAUCCAAGUGUCUACUGACUCCGGCCAUGAACUCCUGGAUGGAAGCAAGUGUGGAAGCUAGCUCGUCUGACAUCUCAACUGAACUGUCUGAACUCGAAUAUGAAUCUGCUCUGAUCAAUCGACCUCCUACUCUCCUCCAAGAAUGUGACUCCAGACUCAACUGACUCCUAAACUGACUCCCUACAAUGCCAACAAAAUGGAUGAAGGACACAAGAUGAAACUCUACAAGGUGACAAUACAAUCAUGCAAGCACAUGGUCCUGAGGUGGCAAUCUGAAAUCUGGAUGUAUGACGAAAACUUUAGAGUCAUAAAGAUAUCCACUGCGAGAUGGCUACAAAUGUGACCAGAGAAUCUCCAUCAAUAAUCCGAGAUAAAGAGAGGUGUGAAAGACACGCUAUCACGAGAUCAGUACUCCAUCUAUAAACAUAUAUCCUUGAAUCAACCUUCAACUCGAGCUCCAUAAGAGAAAAAUAAUAAGGUGAUCAAGGCGAAUCUCUCGAAGACAGUGUGGAUGUGAAAAAUGGGCCUUUCACCUUUCCGUAAUGAAAAUAUGAGCAUCGAGUCGAAAAUUUAACCAAGGAUCAAACAAAUGAUGAGGUACUGAGCCCGUGAUAAGCAUACAGUGUAAAAAGAUGAUCAAUGAACAUAUCCCAAAGCAUCAUGUGAGUGAUAACAAAGUGAAGGGGUGUGUCGAGCCAAGAAAUGAGAACGAAAACCCUAGGGAGAAAACAUGCUAACUCAUCGAGUGAAAAACAUAAUACAAGGUGACAUGACAAUGGUGGUCCAACCGAUACUCAAACUCAUACCAAUCUCCGAGCACUCUCAACUGGAGACUAAAAAGAGGGAACACUGGAUCCGAACUGUAACUAAAGAGGCUCUGAAGGCCUUCAGAUGCACCCACGUGUAGGGUGGAAGUCCUACUCGAAGGAUCUACGGCUCAACCUACGAGGUCAGGCGGCUCUAAAUGGAUAUGGGUGGACUUUAAAAAAAUCCCUAGCAGAAGCGAUCAUACCCUCCAGCGGUACGCAACCCUCUGCACACCUUAGAAAAGACGGGGCGCUUCCAUGCAAGGUGGACAUCACAUCCACACAUGCACUACCUUGACAUCCCAGGGGGUUUCCUAUGGUGAAUCCUCUCAAACUCUCAACGCUCAAUAGUCAACUAGAGUGCACAGUGAUCGGUGUGGGUGCAUCCGAAACCCUUAGAAGCUAAAGCAGAAGAUGAAACACACUGGUCGCAUAAAUAUCCAUGAAACCUAGCUCAGGGCUAUACAGGUCUUCAAUGAUUGGACUCCAAUCGACAACAAUACGCCGCUCUCCUCCAGAAUGCUCCCAAACAUCGGUAUAGCCCCUCGCCAGACCCUACUCUUAACCUCUAUCUCGGUCAGAGUACAAGCACACACAAGGGCUCACACUUGCAAAAGUGAGAACCGUAAUGAAGGAAGUGACCGAGACUAGAGGGUGGGAGACAAGGGGAUAGAUAUGCGACCCACAUAAACAAGCGGCACACAGUCAUGCAAAAGGAGGGCAGUCAUGCGACACACAAUCAGGCAAAGCUCAGAUAUAUCAUCAUGUACACACAAGAUAAGCGAGAAUACGACGAUCAAGACGAAUGGCGAUACAAACAUCAUGCUCAAAGACGAUCAAAAUAGUAUACAAGUCAAAGAAUCAACAUGUCAAGCUGAGUGAUAUACAGUGGUGAGUGUAUGCAUGUGAAGUGAUCAGAACAAUCAUGACAAAAUCAGGGUCAACGUGCUAAGCAAAGCAAUAAGAUCAAUCAUCAAUGAUCCAACAUGUCAAUGUCUCAAACGAAUAUAUCAAUGAAACACAGAAAAAAUCAUGGCAUCAGAAUCCUUAAUCAAUACAAAUCAAUCAACACGAUCAACGUGUCAAAGUCUCAAGUGGAUAUAAAAUCCGAGCAUGCAUCAAAUAUCCUCAAUGUGCAAUCAAGAAAUGGGCAUCCACUGAUCGUCCAAUCGAAUGCCACGUUUGCUUCAUUCUAAGUUCAAGCUUGACCCUCUAAAAAUCCCCAGUGGAGUCGCCAUUUUGUGGACCCCGCAUUUCCACUCAUCUAUCUCUAUGCGUUUCCCACUCGAUGGCGAGCUCGAUUUUUUUAUUUUGAAAAAUUGAUUUUUAUUGAUUAAAAAAUGACUUGGAGUCGCCACUUAUUUUUGUUUUAUUUUUAAAAGGGUAAACAAAAUAAGAAAGAAAAACCCUAAGUGUGACUCCUUAUUUGGAAAAGGUGAUCUACGAAAAACCGGAUCGGGUUCGAGGGUCAGGUUACUUAUCGGGAAGGUACGGUAAAGACCGUAGCACCCCUCUAAGUCCCUAAAGUCGGGUCUCUACUAAUAAAAUGAAGCUGACAUGGCAACCAAUGAGAAAAUCAAUGAAUACUCAAAUCAAUCAUGCACAUAUGAGAAUUAGAAACAAGCAUAAGGAGUGACCAUGAUGCGAGAAAAUACAUACCUGGGUGGCGA
rnacentral:lncRNA from 1 species